AUUGAACGCUGGCGGCAUGCCUUACACAUGCAAGUCGAACGGUAACAGGUUAAGCUGCCGCGCGGCGAACGGGUGAGUAAUGUAUCGGAACGUGCCCAGUCGUGGGGGAUAACUGCUCGAAAGAGCAGCUAAUACCGCAUACGACCUGAGGGUGAAAGCGGGGGUUCGCAAGACCUCGCGCGAUUGGAGCGGCCGAUAUCAGAUUAGGUAGUUGGUGAGGUAAAGGCUCACCAAGCCGACGAUCUGUAGCUGGUCUGAGAGGACGACCAGCCACACUGGGACUGAGACACGGCCCAGACUCCUACGGGAGGCAGCAGUGGGGAAUUUUGGACAAUGGGCGCAAGCCUGAUCCAGCCAUGCCGCGUGCGGGAAGAAGGCCUUCGGGUUGUAAACCGCUUUUGUCAGGGAAGAAAAGGUUCUGGCUAAUACCUGGGACUCAUGACGGUACCUGAAGAAUAAGCACCGGCUAACUACGUG
rnacentral:rRNA from 1 species